UUAUUGGGAUGUGUUUCUCGAGUAAUGAUGCUCCUUUCCAAGCAACUUUCUUGUGGGGGGACACAGAGUUAAAAAAAGAAAUGUUCAUAUGUUCAAUUGGAAGGAGGUGUCUACAAGCAAGGAACAAGGUGGGCUUUGGUUAGAAGAAUUAGAGAUGUAAAUGAUUGUUUGCUGGUGAAGUGGUGGAGGAGAUUUGGAUCUGAAGACAAUGCUUUAUGGAAACGUUUGAUUUGCAGCAUUUACAGAGUUGAGAGAGGUAGAUGGUUCCCAUCUUAUAGAGCUAAUUCUUCUUUUUCAAGGAUUUGGAGUGAAUUCGCUUCUGGAUUGAUAAAUGGCUUGGCAAUGUUAGCCUUAAAGAUGAGUUUCCUAGACUUUUUAGCCUUUCAACAGAUAAGGAGUGAUCCUUGAGGAUGUUUAUCCAGAGGAAAGAGCUCAGGCAAAUGGAAUCUAUGCUUUAGAAGAUCUCGCUUUGGUUGGGAGCAUAAGGGGGUGGUCAGAAUUUAUGGAUUGCUGUGUGCAGCUCCAUCGCUUAGAGUUGGUUUUGCUGAUCACAUUAGAUGGGCUGCCUCAUCCUCAGGUUGUACUGAUGCUUUCAAAAAUGGGAUCUUGUUCGAUGGAUGUUUUUAGAAGGGUUGCACUGAUGCUUUCAGGACUGGGAUCUUCUUAGGUGGAUGUUCUUAGAAUGGCAACCUCUUGAUGGGAAAAGAGACAAGCGAAAAUCUUCAUAAGAACUUUGAUAUAUUUUUUUUAUUCUUUUUCUACUUUGUUCAUUUUCUUUUCCAUUCCUUUCCUUCUAUAUUUUUUAUUUUUUUGUCGGUUUUUCUGUAUUGUACUUCAGCUAUUAUUUCGUGUCUCAAUAUUUUGCAUUAGUUUUUUUGUUUUUGGCUUAUUAUAAAAACCUUUUCUUGUUAUCUUAUUUAUUCAUUAGCAAAGCAUGGUUAAGCUACAUUGCUUAGAAUUUCAUAUGUCAAUUUGAAUAACCUUUUGUCCCCAGAAAAUGCCAUUAGCUUUUUUUAGUAAUUAGGCCAUCUAUCGGAUACUUGCGGCUGUAACAUAUAAGUUCUGUUAAAUCACUCAAAGUUCCUAGCAUAAGGAUACUUUUCUACACCUCUGGAUAUAGGGCACAGUCAUGGUGCUAAAUCUACUGAUCUGUAUGACUUAGCUUCUAUUUGGUCAAUCAAUGUGAUCGAUAUAUCAUGUUCGACUACAAAAUGUGGACAACAAUUAAAAGAUUCCCAAGAUAAAAGAACAAAGCCAAUGAAACUAUUUCAUACUGAACUACAAAUCAAAAGGAAGAGCAUAGAAGUGUGUAAUUCGAGAAAUGAGAACUGCUCUUUCAAAAAAUUCAAGAAAUAAGAACCAUGUUCCAGGAGCUUGGCCCAAGUUGUUUGAUAACAGAGUAAAUAGAAACAAUUUUUGUAUUAAGGAAGCAAAUUCUAAAUAAACCACAAACACGGAAUGGCAAUAGAGUGAUGUCAUGCCAGUUGAGACACAUAUUCCAUACCUACGAUUUUCUUUAUGGUUUGGCCUUGGAUAUAUUGUCUAUAGCAAUUUCAUCUUGUAAUGCUGCUCAUAUUUGUAAUCACUGGGUGUAGUUGUUAUAUUCAUUGAUUUCUGUUAUUAUUACUGAAAUUAGUGUUAGGUUUGACAAAUGGCUUAUAC